AUACGUAGGGGGCGAGCGUUGUCCGGAAUGAUUGGGCGUAAAGGGCGCGUAGGCGGCCCGGUAAGUCUGGAGUGAAAGUCCUGUUUUUAAGAUGGGAAUUGCUUUGGAUACUGUCGGGCUUGAGUGUAGGAGAGGUAAGUGGAAUUCCCAGUGUAGCGGUGAAAUGCGUAGAGAUUGGGAUGAACACCAGUGGCGAAGGCGACUUACUGGACUGUAACUGACGCUGAGGCUCGAAAGUGUGGGGAGCAAACUAGAUGUGAUACCCUUGUAGUCCACACCGUAAACGGUGAAUGCUAGGUGUAGUGGGUAUCGACCCCUUCUGUGCCGCAGUCAACACAAUAAGCAUUCCGCCUGGGGAGUACGGCCGCAAGGUUGAAACUCAAAUGAAUUGACUGGG
rnacentral:rRNA from 1 species